CGCGGCCUAUCAGCUUGUUGGUGGGGUGAUGGCCUACCAAGGCGACGACGGGUAGCCGGCCUGAGAGGGCGACCGGCCACACUGGGACUGAGACACGGCCCAGACUCCUACGGGAGGCAGCAGUGGGGAAUAUUGCGCAAUGGGCGGAAGCCUGACGCAGCGACGCCGCGUGGGGGAUGACGGCCUUCGGGUUGUAAACCUCUUUCGCCAGGGACGAAGCGCAAGUGACGGUACCUGGAUAAGAAGCACCGGCCAACUACGUGCCAGCAGCCGCGGUAAUACGUAGGGUGCGAGCGUUGUCCGGAAUUAUUGGGCGUAAAGAGCUCGUAGGCGGUCUGUCGCGUCGGUCGUGAAAACUUGGGGCUUAACCCUGAGCUUGCGGUCGAUACGGGCAUGACUGGAGUUCGGCAGGGGAGACUGGAAUUCCUGGUGUAGCGGUGAAAUGCGCAGAUAUCAGGAGGAACACCGGUGGCGAAGGCGGGUCUCUGGGCCGAUACUGACGCUGAGGAGCGAAAGCGUGGGGAGCGAACAGGAUUAGAUACCCUGGUAGUCCACGCCGUAAACGGUGGGCGCUAGGUGUGGGGGCCAUUCCACGGUCUCUGUGCCGCAGCUAACGCAUUAAGCGCCCCGCCUGGGGAGUACGG
rnacentral:rRNA from 1 species